GACGAACGCUGGCGGCGCGCUUAACACAUGCAAGUCGAACGGAAAGGCCUGCUUUCCCUUGUGGAUUGCGGGUACUCGAGUGGCGAACGGGUGAGUAACACGUGAGUGAUCUGCCCCCAACUUGGGUAUAAGCCUGGGAAACUGGGUCUAAUUCCCGAUAGGACUGCAGGGUGGUGCCUGUGGUGGAAAACGAUUUUCUAGUGGUUGGGGAUGAGCUCGCGGCCUAUCAGCUUGUUGGUGGGGUAAUGGCCUACCAAGGCGGCGACGGGUAGCCGGCCUGAGAGGGUGGACGGCCACAUUGGGACUGAGAUACGGCCCAGACUCCUACGGGAGGCAGCAGUGGGGAAUAUUGCACAAUGGGCGGAAGCCUGAGGCAGCGACGCCGCGUGGGGGAUGACGGCCUUCGGGUUGUAAACUCCUUUCGACCGCGAGGAAGCCACCUGGUUGGAAGGGUGGUGACGGUAGUGGUAGAAGAAGCACCGGCUAACUACGU
rnacentral:rRNA from 1 species